GAGAUUGUACAGCCUGUGAGCACUAGGAUGGGCUGAGAUUGUACAGCCUGUGAGCACUAGGAUAGGCUGAGCUUAUUGUACAGCCUGUGAGCACUAGGAUAGGCUGAGAUUGUACAGCCUGUGAGCACUAGGAUAGGCUGAGAUUGUACAGCCUGUGAGCACUAGGAUAGGCUGAGAUUAUUGUAUAGCCUGUGAGCACUAGGAUAGGCUGGGGUUAUUGGACAGUCUGUGAGCACUAGGAUAGGCUGGGGAAAGACUUAUUAUAUAUAGUUGAUGAGCCCUGGAGCAUGCUGGGAUUUAAAACCAUUCAAAUUUUUCCGAUCUGUUGACAUUGUCUCGUAAAUGUGGGUACUAGACCUGUCUCCCCAUUUAUUGGCGUUGUUUCUUUUGCUUGUCUGUUUGUUCAGGGUUUUCAUAUGCAUGCACUGUGUCACAUGGGUAAAUGGUGAUUAACACUGACCUAAUGCUACAGAUAAUGACUAUAACACUAACAAUUCUCUC